AACAACAACAGCAACAACAACAACAACAACAACAAACAGCCCUCACUUCCCAGUGGUUAGACUCAAAGUAUGCUAAGAAGCUGUGCUAAUGAAUUCUGGAGAAAUGGCAGAAUCAAUGAGAUUUGAUGGCAGAAUCACAGCCAAGCCAACGCCAAGACCAAUUCUGGUACAUCAUGUCUUCUGCAUUGCAAGGCACACCCAGAAUGAACUCCCUCAUGAGGAUGAAUAGCCAAGUGUCAAACAUGUCUUCCUUGAGGGAACCAGAGGAAACCAGAGCAGUUGUACUCAUGGGGCAUGUCCAAAUUAAUGUUCUCUUAUAGCCUAUGUUGAGAGUUAUAUCCUUUUAGCUAAAUGCAAUAGACUGUAAUUCAUAUAAAUAAACACCGUGUUCAUCUUCAUUUUCUCCCGCCUUCGAAUCCAGUCUUCUGUAGACCUAAUUCACAUGCCAAAUCCCUACUUGUUCUUCUGCAUUACUGAAGGGAUUACUAUUGAGCUCCAAUGGGUUACACACAUGCACACACCAAGAACAAGAUUUAAUUUUCACAGUCAGCACAUAAGGUGCAUUUUACGUCCUGACCUUAUAAAAACACACACAUGUAGAACUAUAACCGAACAAAUCUGGGGCACACAAUAAUCACCCUAAUACAUAUGAUACAUUUUGAUAUUUUCUAUUUUAUUUUUAAUAAUAAUUUUCAUGAACUGAUCAGAUGACCUAAGAAUGGGCUUCAUCUUGUAGUAUAAAUUCAUUUUGCUCUAUAUCCACUGUGCAGAUUGUACCCUGGAAUCUAUCAAUGCCUAAUCAAUGAAAUUCAUUACAGAAUUAUCUGCCCUGCAGGCCCACCACUCAGGUUGUUUUCUUUCUUUACUUCUUGUCUCAAGUGAAAAAAUUGUGCCAAGUAUUUUACAGUUUUCUCAAUUAAUCUCUGAAAAUUCAAAAGGAAAGCAUGUACCCUCACCUUUAAGUAAAUAUAAGAGUGAAGGGUUUCUUUUCUCGGAAAGAUAAAUAUAUACACUUGCACUUACAAACACACACACACACACAAGCUAGGGCUUAGAAAAAAGGUCUAAAUGGAAAGACCCCAAAUUUAUAACAAUGAUUAUCUUAAGAGACAAAGAUCAAGGGAAAAAAAGUGAAGGGAAUGAGGGACUAUUACUUUUUACCUAAUGUAUUUAUGUUUUACUUUUUAUAAUAGACUUGCAUUAUUACUGUAAUUUUUAAAUUAAUGAGGUAUGUUUAUUUUUAAAAAUUUGAGAAACAUAAGUAUAAAUAUUUUAAACUCCAUAUUCCCACCAUUCAGAGAAAAUCAAUAUUAAAAAUUUGAUGUAUUUUCUUUUAAUCUGUUCUUCUGUGAAUGUACACACAUAAACACACACACAGAAGACUACAAGUAUAAUGAAUACAGAUUUUUAUUCUUUUUCACUUAGCAUUACAAUAAAGGAUGUUUACUUAUGUUGCUAAAAAUUCCUCAAAAAGUUAACUUUUCAUAAUUGCUUAUAGUUCAUUAUAUGGGUAUUUUAUAAAAUAGAAAAGUAAUCAUUUAUUAUUAAAACUAUUUCCAAAAUUUUUAAGUAACA